CAGUAGCCGCGGGAAUACGGAGGGGGCUAGCGUUGUUCGGAAUUACUGGGCGUAAAGCGCACGUAGGCGGCUUGGUAAGUUAGAGGUGAAAGCCCAGGGCUCAACCCUGGAAUUGCCUUUGAUACUGGCGAUCUUGAGUCCGGGAGAGGUGAGUGGAACUGCGGGUGUAGAGGUGAAAUUCGUAGAUAUUCGCAAGAACACCGGUGGCGAAGGCGGCUCACUGGCCCGGUACUGACGCUGAGGCACGAAAGCGUGGGGAGCAAACAGGAUUAGAUACCCCAGUAGUCCCUGUCUCUUAUAC
rnacentral:rRNA from 1 species